CGGAGGAUCCAAGCGUUAUCCGGAUUUAUUGGGUUUAAAGGGUGCGUAGGCGGCCUAUUAAGUCAGGGGUGAAAGACGGUAGCUUAACUAUCGCAGUGCCUUUGAUACUGAUAGGCUUGAAUGUACUUGAGGUAGGCGGAAUGUGACAAGUAGCGGUGAAAUGCAUAGAUAUGUCACAGAACACCAAUUGCGAAGGCAGCUUACUAAAGUAUGAUUGACGCUGAGGCACGAAAGCGUGGGGAUCAAACAGGAUUAGAUACCCUGGUAGUCCACGCCCUAAACGAUGAACACUCGAUGUUGGCGAUAUACGGUCAGCGUCUAAGCGAAAGCGUUAAGUGUUCCACCUGGGGAGUACGCCCGCAAGGGUG
rnacentral:rRNA from 1 species